rnacentral:rRNA from 1 species
GACGAACGCUGGCGGCGUGCUUAACACAUGCAAGUCGAACGGAAAGGCCCUGCUGUUGUUGGGUGCUCGAGUGGCGAACGGGUGAGUAACACGUGAGUAACCUGCCCUUGACUUUGGGAUAACUUCAGGAAACUGGGGCUAAUACCGGAUAGGAGCUCCUGCUGCAUGGUGGGGGUUGGAAAGUUUCGGCGGUUGGGGAUGGACUCGCGGCUUAUCAGCUUGUUGGUGGGGUAGUGGCUUACCAAGGCUUUGACGGGUAGCCGGCCUGAGAGGGUGACCGGCCACAUUGGGACUGAGAUACGGCCCAGACUCCUACGGGAGGCAGCAGUGGGGAAUAUUGCACAAUGGGCGGAAGCCUGAUGCAGCAACGCCGCGUGCGGGAUGACGGCCUUCGGGUUGUAAACCGCUUUCGCCUGUGACGAAGCGUGAGUGACGGUAAUGGGUAAAGAAGCACCGGCUAACUACGUG